CACCAGCGUUAAGGCUUCCACCAGCGUUAAGGCUUCCACCAGCGUUAAGGUUUCCACCAGCGUUAAGGUUUCCACCAGCGUUAAGGUUUCCACCAGCGUUAAGGUUUCCACCAGCGUUAAGGCUUCCACCAGCGUUAAGGCUUCCACCAGCGUUAAGGCUUUCCCCAGCGUUAAGGUUUCCACCAGCGUUAAGGUUUUCACCAGCGUUAAGGCUUCCACCAGCGUUAAGGUUUCCACCAGCGUUAAGG